rnacentral:rRNA from 1 species
AGAGUUUGAUCCUGGCUCAGAGCGAACGCUGGCGGCGUACUUAACACAUGCAAGUCGCACGAGGAUCAUCGGGUUAGCAAUAAUUCGGCGGUUCUAGUGGCGUACGGGUGAGUAACACGUGGGUAACCUGCCCUUGAGACCGGGAUACCCUCUCGAAAGGGAGGCUAAUACUGGAUACGUUCCCCGGGGCGCAAGACCUGGGGAGGAAAGGUGGCGAAAGCUGCCGCUCUUGGAGGGGCUCGCGGCCUAUCAGCUAGUUGGUGAGGUAACGGCUCACCAAGGCUAUGACGGGUAGCUGGUCUGAGAGGACGACCAGCCACACGGGAACUGAGACACGGUCCCGACUCCUACGGGAGGCAGCAGUGGGGAAUUUUCCGCAAUGGGCGAAAGCCUGACGGAGUGACGCCGCGUGGGGGACGAAGGCCUUCGGGUCGUAAACCCCUGUCAGAGGGAAAGAAGGGUGUCGGCGUGAAUAGCGCCGGCAUCUGACGGUACCUUCAGAGGAAGCCCCGGCCAACUCUGUGCCAGCAGCCGCGGUAAGACAGAGGGGGCAAGCGUUGCUCGGAAUCACUGGGCGUAAAGGGCGCGUAGGCGGGAUGGCAAGUCGGUCGUGAAAUCCUUCGGCUCAACCGAAGAACGUCGGCCGAUACUGCUGUUCUUGAGGGAUGCAGAGGAGAUUGGAAUUCUCCGGUGUAGCGGUGAAAUGUGUAGAGAUCGGGAGGAACACCGGUGGCGAAAGGCGGGUCUCUGGGCAUCUCCUGACGCUGAGGCGCGAAAGCGUGGGGAGCAAACGGGAUUAGAUACCCCGGUAGUCCACGCUGUAAACGAUGACGACUAGGUGUGGGGGGGGGUUAGUCCUUUUCCGUGCUGCAGCUAACGCAUUAAGUCGUCCGCCUGGGGAGUACGGCCGCAAGGUUGAAACUCAAAGGAAUUG